CACCUGGGAAUCGAACCCUGGCCACCAAAGCAGAGCCCACCAAAUUUAACCCCUAGGCCACACGGCUGGCCCCAGCCUUGAUUAUGUUUAAAAACAAAAGACUGAAAGAAACGUUGACUUUCCCCCUAACUGCCUAAAAGAAUUUAACCUAGAAAGGCCUGUUCCAGGAAGGAGCUAAUGCCAUGAGACAACUAUGGUAAAAUGUAAGAUGGGUGUAGAAAGGCACCAGCAAGCCCAUUUUAUCAAAGUUCUGUCUCUCAGGUCACGUUGUCCAUCAACGGCCCAGCAAACACUUAUUUAACAAACAUUUGCAUUUCCAUCUCCAUGUAAAUUGUCUUCAUCCCCUCCAACGUCUCAAACCACUGCCCCCAGUUUUAGCUGAAAAUGGCAUUUAAACUGGUGGCUUUGGCCAUUUUGGCCAAUUACUCAGUUUUCCUGGGUUUCUCCUAUGUAUACAUAUUAUUAAGCUUUGUUUGAUUUCUCCUGUUGUUCUGUCUCAUGUUAAUUUCAUGUUAAUUUAAUUCUUAGGCCAGCCAGAAGGACCCAGAGGGCAGAGGCAUUGUCUUCCUUCCUUACUGUUUGGCGACUUGGAUGGCAUAAAACUUCACUGGCUGGACACUGCUCGCUCCCGGAUGACUGCAGCCGAGACAUGCUGGACUCCUGACAAGAGCUGGGAGAAGACAAUAGUUCUUACCACGUCAGUCUCCUGAGUCUCUGCCCACAGGGUCCAGUGGAAGUGAGAGUGCCCUGCAAACUGAAGCUGGACAACUUGAUACAAACUUAAGAGAAAUCACAGCACCCAUGUUCAGACAAUCUUCACACCUCUUGCUGUAUAAGAUACUAAAAAAGAUACAUGAACAUCCAAUGACAUCAUCAGAGACAUUUCAAGCUGCAAAAGAUGCUUCAACCCUAACAUAUAGAAAUCUUCUUGACUGGCUGUCCCCUGGGCUCAGGAAUGGGUUUAUAAUUUGCUUCACCAUUAACCUUUGUUUUUCUUUUGUUUUCAUAGAAAUGCUUCUUAUUAAAUACUUGAUUUCUUGUGUACAAAUUAGAGGCCUAAGUUUGGGAGCACACCUGCAUCACUGCCUCCUGAAAUGAAUUUAACUGGACUGAACUAUUAUCGGCACUAAGAGACUAGUGUUUAGUGUAUGGAGCAAUCUAUCGUCUCAGCUUCUGGACUGUGAAACUUCUUGAAUUUCCUAAGGCAGGAUUGUGGGGGAUCAGAAUUUUUCACCCCAAAAUGUAUCUCUUUGGCUUGAUUAUUUUUAAGAACAAAGACUCAAGAAGAAACAUUGACCUUCCCCCUAACUGCCUAAAAGAAUUUAAGAUAGAAGGCCUGUCCCAGGAAGCAGCUCUCACCAUAGAUAACUACAGUAUCAUAUGACACAGGUGUGGUAAAUGAGGAGGAACUUAGUAAGGCCCAUUUAAUCCAAGUCCUCCCCGUGUAACACUGUCUUCUCUAGGAAUGGUAAUCACUUAUUUACCACACAUUUGCUUUUCCACCUCCACGUAAAUUACUUUCCUCCCCUUUGAAGUCCCAAACCACUGCCCCACAGCAUCCUCCUUUGUCAUUAGCUGAAGACGGGAUUUAAAGUAGUGGCUUCAACCUUCUUGGUGAGUUACUCAGUUUUUCUGGAUUUCUCCCAUGUAUGCAUGUUAUUAAACUUUGUUCAAUUUUCUCCUGUUAUUCUUUCUCAUGUCAAUGUAAUUCUUAGGCAGCCAGAAGGACCAAAGGGUAAAGAAAUUGUUCUUCCUGCCCUACGCAUGUGAUAGCUGAAGCUUUGCUCUCUGUCCUCUGCCUGAGUCCUCAGACCUCCACCGCAACUCCUGGUCCCCACCUUUCACUGCUUCUUCUGCUAACCACUGGCCUCUCCACGGCCAGGCAUAAUGGGCCCUGAGGAGAGGGGAAUAGUAGACAAUGUUAAAAAAUAAAAUUCAACUGAGUAAAAUUUAAA